GGAGAAAUUUUCAAAUGUACAGUAUUGCACAAUAGAUUUUUAAGAUCUUUAACCACAUUUAUUUUGUGUCAGAAAACUAUUAUGUUAAAAAAAAUUGAUAACAAUCCAAAUUCAGACAGUAUCAAGCUUGAAUAUAUAUACUGUAUCCAAAUUUGCCCCAACUUUUCAGGGUUUCGAACUCUGCGGUCGUAUCAAGCUGCGCUCAGUGAAGCAUUUAAUUAUAAUCUAGUCAUUCUAAUUCCUAAGAGAACACUGGAUCAUCUGAUCUCUAUAUUGAUAUUUAUUUCAUGACAGUACAAAAUGUACUCCAUGACUUUUGUUAAGUAGCAGGUUCCCAUGACAAUCUUUCAGUAAAUAGUUAAAAUAUUUGUGUAGUACCGGUAUGCACUUACACAUAUCUUAGCUCUCAUAUUAUAUUAAUUAUCAUAUAUUUCACUUGUCGUACAGUUGUUUAGAAUAUCUUGUGUAGAUGCUACACAUAAACCUAUAGAAUGCACCCUGUAUUACAUAUAUAUAUAUAUAUAUAUAUAUAUAUAAAGGGAUGUGGUAUGAUUUUCAAUGAGACAACUCUCCACAAGAGACCAAAUGACACAGAAAUUAGCACCUAUACCGGUAUGUCACCAUACAGCCUUCAAUAAUGAGCAAAGCCCAUAAGUCAAAGACAGCUAUAAAAGGCCCCUAAAUGAUAAAUGGAAAACAAUUCAAAAAAGAAAACUAACGGCCUAAUUAUAUGCUUAUCAUGAACAUUAUUUAACUGGCAUGCUUGAAUUAUCCCCGUAAUAUCUUGUUGAGAUAGAUAAUGAAGUGAGAAAAGACACUGUUAAGCUUGUAUCUCGACAGGACAAUUUCUAAAUCAAUCAAUGUCAGACCUUUUGCCCUCAGACUGAUGUUCAUCUAUCUAGUAGAUUGAUACAAAAUGUGAUGCAUAUCUUGCCAAGUAUUAUUAUAUGUGUAUGGUAUUCUAGAUACUCUCAAAGUAAGAUAAAAAAAUAUUGUUUCAAUGUAUGAUACUUUGCUUGUUGUCACUUAACAUUAAACUUAGGUAUGUCAAGUAGCUCACAUAGCUGCCACUGUAUAUUUUGAACAUAUUAAAGCUGAAUAUAUGUUAAAUUAAUGCAAGCCUUGAAGGGCAGAAACACAUUCUUUAAUUAUACCAUUGAAAAAAGUAGAAAACACAGCUAUAAGAUAUGUAUAUUUAGACUUCUUAGGUGGUCCAUAUUAUGAUGUUGUUUCUGUUAUUGUAAUAAUAAUUCUCAACAUUAUUUAAACACUAUUCUAUGUGCCAAGUAAAGUCUGAAAUCCAAUUUACAAAAAAUCAAUGUAUUUAUUAAAUUUCCAUUAAUGUCUCUAUAGAGGUAACUAGCUGGUAUUUAAGAAUUGUAAAUUAUGUAUAAUAUAUAUAAUUUAUAAUACAUGUGUUUUUAAACCAUCCAGGAGUCCCUGUCAUCUUGUAGCUGAAAUCAAUAGUGUAUAUCUGUUAAAAUUUUAAAGAUAUUAUUAACUGCAAAUCAGUGGCGGAUUCAGAAAUUUUUAUAAGUGGGGCCCACUGACUUCCUAAGAGUGGGCACGCUCCAGUCAUGCUUCAGUGAUUUCCUAUAUAAUCAACCAAAUCCCCCCUAAAUCUGCCUCUGCAAAUUAGAAUAUCUAGAAAAGAUAGACAUUUUAACAUUUCUAUAGCUAAAAUGUAAUUAAUACCCACCACAGUGCAGGGCAAUGGUCAUUGAAAUGUAUAAUGUCAGUCUGUGUCUCUGUUUGUACGCCCUGUUACAUUAUCAUUCUUCAUUGAUUUUAAUGAAAUCUAUAUCAGCACUGUCCUGGAAGGAAUUUAUUACCAUAGUGCUGAUUAUCUACAGGCCUUAUCUACUUUCGAAAAAAAAGUUAUGCUCCUUUAAAAAGUCAAUUAUAUUUAACAUUGCAAAGAAUAAAGUAUCAAGCCCAAAUUGCAUAUGGAUGUUUUAUUAAAUACCCGGUAUAUUUCAGUAAAGUCUCUGACAAGUAAGAAAAUCAGUGCUGAUCAAUUAUUUAUACUGGAAUUAUGUCCCCUUAAAUGUAAAUUUUAUGGAAAAUAUUUCAUUGUAAGCACCCUUACAUCUUUAUUUCUUGUGAGAUAUUGAUGAAGUUCAUAUCAAAAACAGAUAAAAAAAUAUAUGCAUUGGUAGAGGACUUUUAAAAGCUGUUCUUUUAUGUGUUCAUGGUUUAAUUAAUAUUUUACUUUUUCUUAUUAAAGACAACAGCUAAAUACAACAUGACAUAAUAUUCUUUUUAGGGAACAUUUAUAUUAAUCUGUUUACAUCAUAAUUUAUUGUUUUAUUCAGAGUACCCAUUUUAGGACAA
rnacentral:lncRNA from 1 species